UACGGAGGGGGCAAGCGUUAUCCGGAUUCACUGGGCUUAAAGGGCGCGUAGGCGGAUUGGUAAGUCCGUGGUGAAAUCUCCGAGCUUAACUCGGAAACUGCCGUGGAUACUAUCAAUCUUGAAUAUCGUGGAGGUAAGCGGAAUAUGUCAUGUAGCGGUGAAAUGCUUAGAGAUGACAUAGAACACCAAUUGCGUAGGCAGCUUACUAGACGAUCAUUGACGCUGAGGCGCGAAAGCGUGGGGAGCAAACAGG
rnacentral:rRNA from 1 species